rnacentral:misc_RNA from 1 species
GAAAUGCGAUACGUAAUGCGAAUUGCAGAAUUCAGUGAAUCAUCAAAUCUUUGAACGCAACUUGCGCUUCUGGGUAUCCCUGGAAGCAUGCCCCUUUGAGUAUCGUUUCAACCCAAACUCGCCUGCGUGUUUUUUGACUUAAGCACAGCAGCGCGGAGAAUGAGUGUUUGGCCGGAAUGGCUAAUCAUUUGAAACUUCUCAUAAUUCAGUAUCACCGUUGGGCACAGCUCACCUGGUUGAUGUUUGAUAAUUGGCCUUUUGGUCAUUUAACAUCAUUCCAUCGACAACAGGAAGGUGUGUAUUUGUAAUUAUGUAUCAAGGAAACUGAUUGGAGAGAAAUCUUCGAUCCUGAUCUUGAUCUCAGAUGGAGCAAGAGAACCCGCCGAAUUUAA